AGCCGUGCCGGGAUAGCGCUUGGGGAGCUGCAGCCUGUGGGAAGCCCACCACGCGGGAGCCGUUCAGGAAGGACGGCGUCCGUGGGAGGGACCCACGUGGGGGAGGGGCAGCGAGUGACCACGGGUGGCAGAGACGAUGGGUUACACAGUGGCCGCAGGCUGCUCGGAGGGAAAAGCCUUCGAGGGCACAGGAGCGGCACUUGAGCUGGCUGACUGAUACAGAAUGCUCCAUCUCAACAAACACCUUAACAAAUGACAACAGUUUUCAUCUGCAUGGAUUCUCCCUGUAUCUGGCAUAUCCAAAUAGUCCUUAGGCUAACAGACCUCACAGCUUUCCUUGUUUUAAGAAUAAAUGAGACUUCAAAAUGGCAUUUAACUUUCUCUUGCAACCCCAAUUAUACUCUCUUCCUACACCAGUAUUUAGGCCACGUUUUCCCUGUUGGAGAUUUAACGAGGUCUAAGAUAUGCAUGGCUUCUGUGAAAAUAAUUGCAUGAGAACAGGAUCUGAAUCACUACUGCACAUCCCAAAGAGCGAGCAUGAAAUCUCAUUGUGGUACUUGGACAAUAACUUCUCCCUUUUACAUCAUUCAGUGGUUAGAACUGAGGGGUUUGAAUUAUAAAAUGCAAGCAUCUGUGUAAGCUGUUGCUAGAGAGGGGACAAGAUUCUCAAAAAGAACAAUCUUUAGAGGCAGGUUUCAUACUAUUCCUUCCGCAGUAAAUUCUAAAUGUUUGAGGGGUCAGAUAUUUCCUGUCAAAAAUUCUCCUCUCUCCAAAAAAGCAAUCACAUGAAGACCCGCAAGAGGAACUUGUCUAGCAGAGUCUUUUCUCCAUCCCCUUUUAUAUCAGGAAUGCUAACACAGAAGUUUGUAUUUUUGCUGAAUACAAGCCUUACUUAUACUGGAUCUGGUUUUUAACCACCUAGCUCUCACUUAAAUGCUUUGUAAAAAUCACUAAGGCACACAUGCUGCCUUGCCUUUGUGAGGCUGUAGGAUGCAAAAAGCUGUUUCCCGGGUGCUUGGCCAAGGCAGGUAGAGAAGAAAUUUUCUCCUUCGGUAAAAAUCACUCUGAAGUAGCAGAGAUGGAGAAGAGACCCUUAGGUUCUGCCUUACCUGUGAGAGACUGGCAGUCAGCAAUUCAAGGACAAAGAACAAAAAAAGGGGACAAAGUGGUUGCACAUACUGUCACAGGCUCACAAACACACGUUCUGGAAUCUUCUUUUCAGGUGAUAGUACAAGUUUGCUCUGCUAGUCCUUGGGUCACACUGAGGAACACAGUGCACCAAACAACCACUCAUGAGAGUUUGGGUUUCACCAACCUCAGUGUUUCAUUCACUACAAAGCCAUGAGCAGAGCUGCCAGUGACUUGCACACAAUGAGAAAGAAAGUGCACUAACUCAGAAACUAAAUUUAUAACUUCAGGGCACCCUACAGUCAAUCAAAAUUCAAUACCAUUGUUGCCAGUAGUGGAAGGGCACUGAAAACGCUGUAACUGGCAUGCACCCUAAUUCAGGGAGCUUUGAAGGAUUUAGAAUACAACUGGUAUUCCAAAAUUUUAAAAUGCAACUCAAAAUUUAAGGAACAAGUAUUUUUUGGACUGAACCUUACUUAACAGUAAGAGGAUACCAGUAGGUAUGUACACCGUAGCUGUGGAUUCACAAGCUAUAUAAAAGCAGCUUAAAAUGCCCUUCUCACUUUGCAAGUCAAUGAAGUUGCUUUUCAUUGUGUUGUCUCUAUGCAAUCAGUUACCUACAAGCUCCUCAGUAGAAGAUGAAUUUGCUGCCUUUUCUUUGAAUAAAAGGUUUUGC
ensembl:lncRNA